rnacentral:rRNA from 1 species
UACGUAGGGGGGCUAGCGUUGUCCGGAAUCAUUGGGCGUAAAGAGCGCGUAGGCGGCUGGAAUAGUCCGGUGUGAAAUCCACAGGCUUAACCUGUGAAUGCCGCUGGAAACUGUCUGGCUAGAGUCCGGAAGGGGCGAGUGGAAUUCCUGGUGUAGCGGUGAAAUGCGCAGAUAUCAGGAGGAACACCAAUGGCGAAGGCAGCUCGCUGGGACGGUACUGACGCUGAGGAGCGAAAGCGUGGGGAGCGAACAGG